UACGGGGGGUGCAAGCGUUGUUCGGAGUGACUGGGCGUAAAGCGCGCGUAGGUGGGCUUGUAAGUCGGAUGUGAAAUCCCCGGGCUUAACCUGGGAACUGCAUCCGAAACUACAAGUCUUGAAUGCUUCAGAGGUUGGUAGAAUUCCUGGUGUAGGAGUGAAAUCCGUAGAUAUCAGGAGGAAUACCGGAGGCGAAGGCGGCCAACUGGGAGUGCAUUGACACUGAGGUGCGAAAGCGUGGGGAGCAAACGGG
rnacentral:rRNA from 1 species